GCGGGACCACAUCCCCUUUCGGCAGUGCAAGCUCACCCACGCUCUGAAGGACUCGUUAGGGGGAAACUGCAAUAUGGUCCUCGUGACAAACAUCUAUGGAGAAGCUGCCCAGUUAGAAGAAACGGUAUGUAAAGACAGUCAGUGAAACCAGGCUGGAAUCCCCCUUCAUGGGUGCCAGGGCAGGGUAAGGCUCCAGGCUGGCUACCCUGGCACAGUGGCCAUAGACAUUGUCAAGAGUGGAAGGAUCCAGGGGUGAGUCUGAGCCACAGUUGCUGAGGGGGCCCAGAGCUAGGAUCCACACACCAAGCACUAAGCUGUGCGGAGGAAAAGGGCCAGCCAGCAGGCAGGCUCAGCAUGGGAGACUGUGUGAGGAGGGAGGCUGAGAGCCAGCUUUGUGAAGACAAGGACCACGUUUCCUGGGGUGCUGCUCCUGGAAUUGGGAUCAAGAAGGAUCGUUGGUGACUUGUUCUUUAUAAUCACACAUGUUUAAACAUCUUGAAAACCCCACAGGGUUCCAGGCUGUGGUUAUAAGGCCAGUAUGAGCAGAUGGUAUUAAGCACCUGCCAUGUGCACCAUGGUAAGCAGGAGUAACCUGGUAGAAAUUAGUCUUAAAUGCCCUUGGGCCUCAGCAUCCUCAACCCAGAAAGAGAGAGAAGCCAUGGUCCUAAGUAACAGGAGGCCCAGAGGGAGGAGACCUUCAGAGGAGGCCAGGAUGGGGGUGAUGGGGAACUUUUCCUGAAGCUGGAGUAGGGAAAGAUGGGCACAGAGCUG
rnacentral:sRNA from 1 species